GACGAACGCUGGCGGCAUGCCUAAUACAUGCAAGUCGGACGGAUAUGUUUAAAAGACAUAUCAGUGGCGAACGGGUGAGUAACACGUAAGUGACCUACCUGUACGACGAGGAUAACUACUGGAAACGGUAGCUAAUACUGGAUAGGAUAUAUACCAUAAGGGUAUAUAUUUAAAGGUCCUAAGGGACCGCGUACAGAAGGGCUUGCGGCGCAUUAGCUAGUUGGUGGGGUAAAGGCCUACCAAGGCGACGAUGCGUAGCCGACCUGAGAGGGUGACCGGCCACACUGGGACUGAGAGACGGCCCAGACUCCUACGGGAGGCAGCAGUAGGGAAUCUUCGGCAAUGGACGGAAGUCUGACCGAGCGAUGCCGCGUGAGCGAAGAAGGUCUUCGGAUUGUAAAGCUCUGUGAUUAGGGAAGAAGGCUAUUAGGAGGGAAUGCCUAAUAGGUGACGGUACCUAAUUAGAAAGCCACGGCUAACUACGUGCCAGCAGCCGCGGUAAUACGUAGGUGGCGAGCGUUGUCCGGAAUUACUGGGCGUAAAGGGUGCGUAGGCGGUCCAUUAAGUCUGAUUUGAAAUACCAUGGCUCAACCAUGGGGGUGGAUUGGAAACUGGUGGACUUGAGCGUAGGAGAGGAAGGUGGAAUUCCAUGUGUAGCGGUGAAAUGCGUAGAGAUAUGGAGGAACACCAGUGGCGAAGGCGGCCUUCUGGCCUAUCGCUGACGCUGAGGCACGAAAGCGUGGGGAGCAAACAGGAUUAGAUACCCUGGUAGUCCACGCCGUAAACGAUGAGUACUAAGUGUCGGGGGGUUAACUCUCGGUGCUGAAGUAAACACAUUAAGUACUCCGCCUGGGGAGUACGGUCGCAAGACUGA
rnacentral:rRNA from 1 species